UGGGCAGAUUAUUGUAUUCGACUGUAUUCACGGCGUGAAAUAGGGGAUUACACUGUAUUUAAAGAGAAAGUGAAUCAAUUAACAUAAUAGACUUAA
rnacentral:pre_miRNA from 1 species